AAGCGGAGGAAAAGAAACCAACAGGGAUUGCCCUAGUAACGGCGAGUGAAGCGGCAACAGCUCAAAUUUGAAAUCUGGCUCUUUUAGAGUCCGAGUUGUAAUUUGCAGAGGGCGCUUUGGCUUUGGCAGCGGUCCAAGUUCCUUGGAACAGGACGUCACAGAGGGUGAGAAUCCCGUACGUGGUCGCUAGCUAUUGCCGUGUAAAGCCCCUUCGACGAGUCGAGUUGUUUGGGAAUGCAGCUCUAAAUGGGAGGUAAAUUUCUUCUAAAGCUAAAUAUUGGCCAGAGACCGAUAGCGCACAAGUAGAGUGAUCGAAAGAUGAAAAGCACUUUGGAAAGAGAGUCAAACAGCACGUGAAAUUGUUGAAAGGGAAGCGCUUGCAGCCAGACUUGCUUGCAGUUGCUCAUCCGGGCUUUUGCCCGGUGCACUCUUCUGCAGGCAGGCCAGCAUCAGUUUGGGCGGUGGGAUAAAGGUCUCUGUCACGUUCCUUCCUUCGGGUUGGCCAUAUAGGGGAGAUGUCAUACCACCAGCCUGGACUGAGGUCCGCGCAUCUGCUAGGAUGCUGGCGUAAUGGCUGUAAGCGGCCCGUCUUGAAACACGGACCA
rnacentral:rRNA from 1 species